AUUGAACGCUGGCGGCAGGCCUAACACAUGCAAGUCGAACGAGUGGCGGACGGGUGAGUAAUGUCUGGGAAACUGCCUGAUGGAGGGGGAUAACUACUGGAAACGGUAGCUAAUACCGCAUACCAUCAGAUGUGCCCAGAUGGGAUUAGCUAGUUGGUGGGGUAACGGCUCACCAAGGCGACGAUCCCUAGCUGGUCUGAGAGGAUGACCAGCCACACUGGAACUGAGACACGGUCCAGACUCCUCCGGGAGGCAGCAGUGGGGAAUAUUGCACAAUGUGCGCAAGCUUGAUGGUGUCUUGCCGCGAGUAUGAUGAAUGCCUUCGGGUUGUAAAGUACUUUUGGCGGUGAUGCGUUACCCGCAGAAGAAUCACCGGCUAACGCCGUGCCAGCAGCCGCGGUAAUUC
rnacentral:rRNA from 1 species